rnacentral:rRNA from 1 species
UGGGGAAUAUUGCACAAUGGGCGCAAGCCUGAUGCAGCCAUGCCGCGUGUAUGAAGAAGGCCUUCGGGUUGUAAAGUACUUUCAGCGGGGAGGAAGGUGUUGUGGUUAAUAACCACAGCAAUUGACGUUACCCGCAGAAGAAGCACCGGCUAACUCCGUGCCAGCCGCCGCGGUAAUACGGAGGGUGCAAGCGUUAAUCGGAAUUACUGGGCGUAAAGCGCACGCAGGCGGUCUGUCAAGUCGGAUGUGAAAUCCCCGGGCUCAACCUGGGAACUGCAUCCGAAACUGGCAGGCUUGAGUCUUGUAGAGGGGGGUAGAAUUCCAGGUGUAGCGGUGAAAUGCGUAGAGAUCUGGAGGAAUACCGGUGGCGAAGGCGGCCCCCUGGACAAAGACUGACGCUCAGGUGCGAAAGCGUGGGGAGCAAACA